CAAGACAAGAGAUUUAAAAAGGAGGAAUGUCUUUGGACGUUGAGCACAGACUUUAACAUCAGCUGGUAUCGAUCAUCUCCAGAUUAACACGGCAACAGAGAAAGACAAAAUGAACAUCGUUCUCCUGACUGCCAUCACCUUCACUUUAGCCCCUGUUUGUGGGGGGCAAAUCGUGUUUGAUGGCAACAGCAUGGACUGGUCAGACUUGGCAUCACCCCUCUUACAACCCUGUCAAGGAAGGGGCUCCAUGGCUAAGUAUACGGCAUUUGUCAACAGACACAUCCUUCAAGCCUCCUUUGACAGAAAUUCUAUACAGCAAUGGAGAAGUUAUUUACAAGGAAAGAGACUCUGUGGCAGAGCUCCGGUGCAGACCUUCAUCGAUGCCAGAGUGGGAGCUGUCCAUCAGAUCUGCAGCAGGUCAGGCCUGCGCGUGCAGAGUUCCCCAGGUAACUUGUGCAUCAGCAGGUCACGCAUGCAGGUGUUUGAUGUCAUAUCUGACCAAAAUUGCAGUAUGAAUAGGAUGCGUGUACAAAAAGGCAGCCAGAAAGUGAUUGUGGCAUGUGAUAAGGUUAAUAAUCGUUGCCUCCCUGUCCAUUUUGAGAAAAACAGAGGCCAAAGCCCGACCAAUACACCCUGUACUUGAGUUGACUCAGUUCCAUUUGUCAGGUUUAUUAUUCCUUGACAUCUAAAUAUUUCUAUCAAGCUUUGCCAAAUGAUUUUUGCUCAUAAAAAUAUAAAGAAAUAUUGGCAUGUGAUUUUUUAAAAGCAACACAUUCUUUCUGCCCCCAUGACAUUUAAUGAAACGAGCAUUUUGUCAGGAUGAGUAUGUGCUGUGCAUAACAGAAAAGUUUUUAUUAAAUAAAUGAUUUAAAUUGUUAUUCAAUCUUCCUAUUAAGCAUGUUUUCUGCUGUGACAGAAGUGCAUUUUAUGCUAAAGCUCAUUUACAAUUAUUUCGAAUUAUUUUCGAUUAAAAUUCACUUGACUACUUGAAAUUAAUUUUCCUUUAAUUUGUAUCAGUUAACUCCUUUUGCAUAGAUUGGUUUUGUCAAACUGUGUUGUAAUCCAUUUUUUUUUUUUUUUUUUUUAUAAAAUUGCUUUGUAUACAGUCAAAUGCCUUCUGUCAAAAGGAUUCUCAUGUAAGAUUACUAUCAUGUCUUUCUUUUGGCAAAAAAUGUUUGAAACUGUGAAAUCUGAUUAUUUUAUUCUUUGACACAUAAUUAAUGAUAGCUUGUUGCUGAUGCUUUAUUUACACUUUCAUUUACUUGUUUUCUGAGUUCAUUUGUUCAUGUGAAGAACUGAUAUUUUCUUCUGUGUUCUGUAGAACUCACAAUAAAUACUGCAAAUUGA